UACGUAGGCAGCGAGCGUUGUUCGGAGUUACUGGGCGUAAAGGGUGUGUAGGCGGUUUUCUAAGUUUGGUGUGAAAUCUCCCGGCUCAACCGGGAGGGUGCGCCGAAAACUGGGAGACUAGAGUGCGGGAUGGGAGAGUAGAAUUCCUGGUGUAGCGGUGAAAUGCGUAGAUAUCAGGAGGAAUACCGGUGGUGUAGACGGCUCUCUGGACCGGCAUUGACGCUGAGGAGCGAAAGCCAGGGGAGCAAACGGG
rnacentral:rRNA from 1 species